rnacentral:tRNA from 1 species
GGAAAGUUAAGUUAUUGAAAAUAUUACUAAUGAAAUCGGUCUCGAAAACCGGAGUAGGGGUAACUCUACCGGGGGUUCAAAUCCCCCUCUCUCCGCCA